rnacentral:rRNA from 1 species
GGAAAGUUGCAAAGUACUUUGAAGAGAGAGUUCAAGAGGACGUGAAACCGAUAGGAUGGAAGCAGAUGAAGUUGACGAACGUGUGUCGUAUUCAAAAUCGCUGUCAGCGGUUUGUUUUUACGGCCGAUGUGGGCCGGCGGCUUUGGUCAAUGCAACGCGUCUAGCGUCGAUGGUGACCCUGCGGAGGGACAAUCAGUCGACGUACGGUGCUUGGUAUGGCUAAGGUUUCGCCGGUCUUAAAGUCAGCGCCUCAUCUGACCCGUCUUGAAACACGGACCAAGGAGUGUAGCGUUUGCGCAAGUCUUAGAGUGUAUCGAAACUUUGAGGCGUAACGAAAGUAAAUGCAGUUUAAUCUGCUGACUUGGGAUGCGUUGUCUCUUGUGGACGGCGCUGGACCAAGGUUUUAUCGCGAUCGCUUGCGGUGCGGUGAAAAAA